ACAUAGCUACAUAGCUGCAUAGAUACAUAACUACAUAGAUAAUUGGGGUUAGAGAAAAUACUCGUUAAAGAAAUCUGUCCGUCCGCCAUUGCCCUAAUCUCCCCAGGCCGAUUAGCAAAGCUUUCCACAUGCUAUCAGUAGGUUAUUACGCUGAACAGAGAUAGGGUGUUUACGUGGUGUUUCGCGGCGAACCGUGACAACCCUGACUCUGCUUCGAUUUGUAGGGGCCUGACAGAUAACCUCUCGCUCUCCGCGGAUUGCUUUUUCGAUCCUACGGAAUUUCUGUCCGUGCCGAUGUAUUUAUAAACCUGAUUCACGUGUCCACCGCCUCGCGAUUUCGAAUCCUUGAAUGUAUGGGCCACGGUUGCUAUGCCAGAAAGAUCGUCGCGGAAUCUUGUUGACAUUAUGAUCGACAAGACGCGAUAUGACAGCUCUAGCUUCAAUCUUUAUGCUACUGCGUUUUAUCACUGAUGUCAGUACAUAUAGAGUUAGGCGAUAGCUUUACAUAUUGCAUGCCUACUACAUUAUUUAUAUUUAUAUUCAUCUUUAUUCACAUGCAAGUCUAUAUUUCUACAACGCCAUUUGCUACGUAUUCUCAGGUAUAUAACAAGUUAUUCAUAUUCCAAGGUAUCACCAUGUACUUCAUAAACAUCUACAUUUUCAGGUUCUUCAGGUGCUUCUACUGAGUCUACAUUGCAUGUCCACAUACCACACUGCCAACAUUUAAAGAUAUCUACAGUGUCUGCGUUGUAGAGUACCUAUAUUCCUAGAUGCAACAUUCCAGAAGGCUUACAUUGCACUUUGUGCUUGUAUUCCACAAUGUCUACAGUCUAUACUACAUCCAGCUCAUGCAGAGAAACAUGUCAAGCGACAACACCGGGAAUCGUUAAACGAGAUUAUAAUUCUAAAAGCUUUCUAUCGAUGCUGAUGAGGCGAUAGUCCUAUCCAACCGGAAAUCAUAACGGGAGUCUAUCGGAUUCACGAAGGUCCCAGAGGAAAUCACCUCUCGUCACCUCGCCCGCGCGUGCGCUCUGUUCCUAGCUAAUCGAAUGCGAGCCAAGGGAAACGUGGCUGCAUGGCCACGAUAGUCAUUAAAUGUGAUUUGAAAGUAAGAAGCGUACAGCGGAAGCAAGUGGCUCGUUGUCAAUGAAUAUGUAGGUUGGCCCUCGACCUCGUGCCUCCAUAUGCGUAUCCUCUGACAAUGCAUGCGCGAACGUGUAAGCUCAUCGCUGUUCCGAUGAGCAGGCGUGUAGAUUAAUCGAUAACGAGACCAACUGCCAGUUUGACUGUACGAAUUUCACUGAACUUUGGCAAUUUUUUUUAGGAAGGUUCAAGGAUGAAAGGAAUGGUGGACAUUGAAAUGAGAGCUUGUUUGAAUAAUGCAUGCAAGGUACAAGUUUGCUUGCCUGGGUUCUGCAAUACCUUGAUCUCUGGAUGUAUUUAUUUAUGCUUUGGAAGAAGAUGCAUGCUGAUUUCUAGUAAAAUCUAGCUUCAACUGAGUUAAGUAGAAUCCAAGGACCAGUUCUACUCAAUUGAGCUGUCAACUUAAGCCUUGGUCAAUGGAGAAUUUAAAUACUGUAAUAUGGACUAUACAGAAGUUCUAAAAGGCUAGAACUUGGUACUGAAGGCAAGGUACUGAAGACAUGGUACUGAAGGCAAGGUACUGAAGGCAAGGUACUGAAGACAAGGUACUGAAGACAAGGUACUGAAAACAAGGUACUGAAGACAAGGUAUUGGAGGCAAGGUACUUAAGGCAAGGUACUGAAGACAAGGUAUUAAAGACAAGGUACUGAAGGCAAGGUACUGAAGCUAAGGCACUGAAGGCAAGGCACUGAAGACAUGGUACUUAAGGCAAGGUACUGAAGUCAAGGUACUGAAGACAAUGUACUGAAGGCAAGGUACUGAAGACAAGGUACUGAAGGCAAGGUACUGAAGUCAAGGUACUGAAGACAAGGUAUUAAAGACAAGGUACUGAAGGCAAGGUACUGAAGACAAGGUACUAAAGACAAGGUACUGAAGGCAAGGUACUGAAGCCAAGGCACUGAAGGCAAGGUACUGAAGGCAAGGCACUGAAUGAAAGGUACUGAAGGCAAGGUACUGAAGACAAGGUACUGAAUGAAAUUUAGGUUUAACUGAUGACUUUCAUGAACCUUAAAUGUAUGAAUAUUUAUCUAGGUUGCAACUGGCCGUUCAUAAAAAGACUUAGCUAAUUGGAUCAGUGAAGAAAAAGAGUCAGGAAGCGAGAAAAGAUUUUAUAAUAAUUUUAUGCGCAUUCCAUCGUCGGACCCACGCCCACAAAGAGGAAGAGGCGAAUGCGACAACGCCGAGCGAAAGCUACCGAGUUAUUUUCGACACAGUGGUUUAAACAUAGACGAGAUCUUCCGACUCUCCGCGACGUGAAACGAUACCGGUAGCUUACAGUAUGCAUAAAUAUCGACCUUGCUAUUUUAAAUUUUAAUCUAAGUUGCACGACAAACAUGGACUACCGAAGUCCAAAGGCACAAGCAGUUAAUUGUAACUAUUACCGAUGAUACACAAAAGUAACCUUCAACCAAUGGAACUAAUUAGCUCAUUAAGAGCCGUGACGGUCGUUGAAUAUCUAUCUUCAAUUACCAGCUGCAACAUUGUCGAGGAAAACAAUGUAUUGCCUUCAGUGUGGCCUUCGUGAAAAUUUUGUGGACGAUAUAACGAAAGUCUACUGUAAUUUUCACUUUCGUUACGCAACUCGGCAAGAAAUCUGAACGGGUCGAAGGUUGCGAUAGGUUCGCACUUUGCUUCGUGAUCGUAAACACGUAACGACGCGUGUUAUGUCGUCGUGGCGGCGUCAUCGAGCGGAGAACGUCAGAUUCGCUAUUAUUAGCUAUUAGUGUAGAUCGACUUUCGAAACUUUGAUCGUUUAAAAAUUUUCGAGAUCAUUGGUCGUGGCGACGUAUAAUUGCAGAGCGUGUCGACGUUAUUAAUCGUUGCGCGAGAAAAACGCGCUCGUGUCCCUGCUCGACAGGUGCGGGAAAAGGAGAGGAACGUUGAAAUUCUUCGUUCUGCUUGGCGAACGUUCUACCCGCUUAGAAUCUUGCUCGGCCACUCGAGCGUAUUAAUAGCGCGUGAUUUUCCGCGUUUUUUCGAUGCUCACGCGAUUUUCCGACCGCUCGACCCAUCUUUUUACUUGCCUUUCAUGAAUGAACAUUUUCUUCGAAUUGUAUACUGUUUCUCUUAUUUGGAUUAUCUAGGAAUUGUAGAUUCAUGAUGCGACUAAUUGGCUGAUUCAACUGCGUUAGGAUAAAGAAAGUGCAUCAUGCAGCACGCGAUAGAGCGUAAAUCGAGAGUCGGACCGUGUGCCAAGUGCUGUCUCGUUGGAUUUUCCGGCUCGCUUGCGAAUGCAGCUUGUGCUGUUCUAUUUGCUGGAACCUGCGACUGUUUGCUUAACUUCAGUGCUUCUGUUGAUGCUUUACUUCAGUAUUUCAACUUUAGUUUAUACUUUACUUUGGCCAAAAGUACCCUCUGCACCUAAUUGAAUCUAUGAAUCGACUGCAUCCAGGAAUAGUCUCUAGAAGUUCUGGAAUCUGGCUAGCGACAAUGAACACGGAGGACGGGAUAGGCAUAGAAAGGAAUGCAGAAGUGGCAGGGUAGAGUUGCUGGGCAAGUCAGCGACGCCUCGGCGCUCGUUCGCGGCGAUACACGCGCCUAUGACCGUGGAACACGGUUAUAGAUACAUCGGGGCCACCACGAACGAGAUCACCGGUUCCUCUAUCUCUCUCUCUCUCCGCGGGUCUUUAUCCAAUCGACUUAAUCGCGCGAGGCCCUCGUUGCAAGGUGCGACUGCCAGCGAUGGCCAUUCAAUUCUCUCUCUUUCUCUUUUUGUUCACGAGCAAUUUAUUCGUACAGGGCGCGGCAAAGAUAGCGACAGGUCGAUUCUGUUGGAUGAAAAUUUGAACCCGUAUGAAUUCUGCAGAUUCGGAUCUGACUGUUUAGAUAGAAAUGAAACUGAAAAAUCUGUAAUUAAGUUACCUAAUAUCUUCGUCCUACGUGUUAAUUCGUCCGCCAAACAGAGGUUAGGUCUCAAAACGUUCUUGCUACUGAAUAUCCUGGUAUGCAAAAGUGUAUCGAAAUUAGACACCAGCUUCCCCGUAUAAUUCGAGCACUCAAGAAAAUUGCACCGUACAAGGUAGCCCGGAAUUUCGUCGACUUCGAUCGGACCUGCCUCCGAGGAGGAGAGAUCAGGUUGUAAAAGUGGUAAAGGAAAAAAUGGACAAGCUUGUCGCUACGGCUCGAGAAUAAAAGGGAAGGGGUUCCGUUAUGAGGAAUCGUCAAUUACUAGCCACUUCCUGCUGCCUCUUUCCGUCUUGUUGCAACGGUUUUUACCGCUUUCUCGCUCGUCGGUUCAGUCCCUCUAGGCACCGGUAAAUUAAUGAAUCAACAGUGUUAACGCCUUUGAGGACGCAACGUGUGCGUCUUGUGAAGACUGGGACUGUAAGAGACCGUAGACUAUAGGAUGUAGACUAUAGGACUAUAGGAUGUAGACUGUAGGAGGUGACAAUUGUUAGGACAUUGGUAGGAAGGUGUAAUGGUAUUGGCACAUGAGGUGACGCACCGUAUGCGUCACAAUGUAGGUACAUCACUGUGAUGCAAUGCAUGUGUUGUACAUUGUAUUACACACAUACUGCAAGAUGUAAUGUAAAGUUUAUGCGUGUUAAAUUAUACUUAAGACAUAGCAAAGACAUAGCAGGUAUCAGUGGUGUGAGGCCUACAUUGUGACGCAUAUGGUGUGUCACCUUGUAAUACAUAUACACACAUAUACCUUAUAUUAUAUCUUGCACUGUGUAUAAUGCAUGUGUUGUACAUUGUAUCACACACAUACUGCAAGAUGUAAUGAAAGAUAUGUAGAUGUUAUAUUAUCUAUAAGACAUAGCAAAGACACAGCAGGUAUCAUAGUGAUGUGAGGCCUACAUUGUGACGCAUAUGGUGUGUCACCUUGUAAUACAUAUACACUCAUAUACCUUAUAUUAUAUCUUGCACUGUGUAUAAUGCAUGUGUUGUACAUUGUAUCACACACAUACUGCAAGAUGUAAUGAAAGAUAUGUAGAUGUUAUAUUAUCUAUAAGACAUAGCAAAGACACAGCAGGUAUCAUAGUGAUGUGAGGCCUACAUUGUGACGCAUAUGGUGUGUCACCUUGUAAUACAUAUACACUCAUAUACCUUAUAUUAUAUCUUGCACUGUGUAUAAUGCAUGUGUUGUACAUUGUAUCACACACAUACUGCAAGAUAUAAUGUAAGAUAUGUAGAUGUUAUAUUAUCUAUAAGACAUAGCAAAGACACAGCAGGUAUCAUAGUGAUGUGAGGCCUACAUUGUGACGCAUAUGGUGUGUCACCUUGUAAUACAUAUACACUCAUAUACCUUAUAUUAUAUCUUGCACUGUGUAUAAUGCAUGUGUUGUACAUUGUAUCACACACAUACUGCAAGAUGUAAUGAAAGAUAUGUAGAUGUUAUAUUAUCUAUAAGACAUAGCAAAGACACAGCAGGUAUCAUAGUGGUGUAGUUCCUACAUUGAGACGCAUAUGGUGCGUCACCUUAUGUGACAGUGCCAUUACAUCUUAUACUCCCUGCACUAUAAGUGUUCUAACACGAUUGUUCAUCUCACCCAACGCAUGUGGUGUACAUUGUAUUAUAUACACUACAAAAUGUAAUGUAAAUGCGUUUUAAAUUAUCUUUAUAUAUAAAGUAUAUAGCUAUACAGUGAGAUUGUACAUAGAAUAUUUAGUAUUAAAUUGUUGAAUUGCUCUGAAAUAAUUCAUGAAGGUAAUUAGAAUGAAAUGGCUAAUUGUAAAAAAAUUGAGCAGCGUGUAUUUUUCCAGCAUCGAUCGCAGUUAACACUGAUAAAGCGACCCGUUCAGGGACGUUUACCCUGGAGAGGGGUCAGUGUCACGUCGUGGGCCCAGAGUUCGUUGACUGAAUAAGCCGAGGCAAGCACUCUCGGACCAAGGACCGGUUGGUCCACCCUUCGUCCCACCCUGCCUGACAGUGCCGGAGCUUUAUCCCUCGUAGCCCUAAGUGCAUCGACUUCUCGUUGAUCCUAAGGACUGCUCUUUUUUCUUCUCGCCUUCCUGCCAGAAGUCGAUCCUUUCCUUAACGAAUCUUUGCUAAAUUCAGCACUUGGUAAGUCGAGUAUUUGACUGAGUUCAACUAGUUAAUUUAAAUUUGCAGAAGUCUAUGCAAAUCAGCGCGACCUUUCGGGGUUACGUGCAAUGUGUACGAGCCAUAAGGACCGGAUCGAUAAGUCGCCACCUCAACGUUAGCACUCGAACGAUCGGGCCACGAUGUCGUUAAAACAACAGGGGUCAAAGGGACCAGAGUCCUUGAAAGGACGGUAAAAGUAACCUUUGGGUCAAGAUUCUACCGAUAGGCCAACGUAA
rnacentral:misc_RNA from 1 species